GUCACAAACUGCCGUGGCAGCGGAGCGGUGGCCGUCGCCCCCUGCCGCCCGGGGCCCUCGCGCCUUGACCUCACUGGACACCUGUUGUUUGAGACCUUCCUGUGGCGGCACAGAAGUUUUAAGCUUGCCGCGACGGUUUCUGGGGCUAGGAUUUCAGUGCGCUGUACCUGCUAAGAGGGCUGAAAAGGCUUCGGUGCUUCUAGUCGGGAGGGGUCGCCUUACCUACCUCAGAGCCGGUCACGGUUUUGUCCUCGUUUCCUUCCAAAAAUUCUCUCUCUUCCAUAAAUGUUACGGUUUUCUUCCAAAACGCUCAGCUGCCUCGGAGGCCUUGCGUUUGCUUGGUGUACCUUGCGUAGCAAAUGGCCGGGAGCCCAUGUGCUGCGGAUUAAGGGAUUCUUAACGUUUCUUAGCUAGCCGAUGGUAAAAUAAGCACUCCUAGAAGCAAUGAAGCAAGCACGUCUCGGUUCCUUUUGAUUUUAUAUCGUCUUUUGGUUUGAUCUGUCAUGCAAGAUGCAGUGGAAGCUUUUCUCCUGGUUACGUGACUAACCUGGCAUCUACUGAGAAGCGGACUGAUGCUGUAGCCGUCUUUCUCCCUGGAGACGUGAAUAGCUACUUCUCUCGUCUGUUUUUACAAAACUGUGAAAAAGUAACAACUCUGAGGAGACCUCUGUUAAGCUAAGGAAAAGGUGUAAAUGUUGUUGGGGGACAUAGAAACGUAUACAAAUGAUUUCACAAGCCCCGUUUCCUUAGCCAAAGAGGCUAAACUAUAUCUGCGUGCGUGUGUUUUCCCCCUAACCUACCCUCCACCCCAUCUCUGUCUCCUCCCUUUUGGUGAUAAUUCUGAGGUGGGAGGCCACAAGACCGGAUUAAGGACUGGCUGACAGAUGAGGAGAGAGCAGUGCGUAUUGGCUACUUUGGCUACCUUUAGAAAGGCUUUUGACACAGCGUCCCAGUGUCUUCCACUGUCUCUCCAUCAGAAAGUACUAUUUUUGUGGCUGUAUUUUAAUUUUUAUAAAUAUGUACAACAUUUAGAAAUCCUGCAGUACUCCUGAUCGUAAUAACUUCUUAUGAAGGGUUAUUUUUAACAUUUUGUCAAUGCUAAGUGCAGGCUACAGGGCCUUUCCCAUUAGGUAUUACCAGGUAUCUUUUGGAGAAGCCCUGCUUAAAGUGACUUUUUUUCAGUGUUUCAGGAAAGGUUUAAGGCAUCUUUUCUGUUAUUUGCGGGAUAUUGUAUGUCCUUCUAAUAACCUCUAAUUACAAGGGCUAUUCUAAACGUUUUAGAUGACUGCUACUAAGUUUCUGAUUUUUACUACUGUGUUCUCUCCUACAGGAGGCAUAACAAUUUUGUGGGUAGGGAUUCACAGCGAUUAUUUUUCAUCUAAAUGUAUAUUCUAUAGCUU
rnacentral:lncRNA from 1 species